rnacentral:rRNA from 1 species
UUCCUACGGGUGGCUGCAGUGGGGAAUAUUGCGCAAUGGACGAAAGUCUGACGCAGCGACGCCGCGUGCGGGACGAAGGCCUUCGGGUCGUAAACCGCUGUCAGGAGGGAAGAACCCUGGUAGUUCGAAUAGGGCUGCCAGCUGACGGUACCUCCAGAGGAAGCACCGGCUAACUCCGUGCCAGCAGCCGCGGUAAUACGGAGGGUGCAAGCGUUAAUCGGAAUCACUGGGCGUAAAGCGUGCGUAGGCGGCAUGGCAAGUCAGGUGUGAAAGCCUGCGGCUUAACCGAGGAAUUGCACUUGAAACUGAUGGGCUGGAGUUCUGGAGAGGGUGGCGGAAUUCCCGGUGUAGGAGUGAAAUCCGUAGAUAUCGGGAGGAACACCAGUGGCGAAGGCGGCCACCUGGACAGUAACUGACGCUGAGGUACGAAAGCGUGGGGAGCAAACAGGAUUAGAUACCCCUGUAGUCAA